GGGCUCUCAUUUCUGCAAAUGGAAGUAACCCAAACGACACUCUUCGUUAGACUUCCGGAAUCGUUUGCUUAGCUUAGCUUAGCUUCACCGCCGGUCCACCGUCGCGGCUAAUUUGCUGUCACCGGCAUGCCACAUCAUGACUAAUCAGUUACGGCAGCAUUUCUCUUUCAUUUCUGGUGAAAGAAAAUGUCUUUGUACCUUUCAAUUGAACGCGACAAGCUGAAGAGUUGUCUUGCUACUACAUGUGGGAUGAAACAAUGUAAAUAUUCCUCUUAUAAUUUCAUCUCAUCAAUAGCAGCUCACAUCAAUUCACAUUACACAUUCUGUAAAACAGUUGAUUUUAAUAGUUAAUUUGUGUAAAUGUUAUUAAUCCGUGUUAUACUUUUAAUCCCUUAACGAAGAUGACAUUUUACUUACCUUA